rnacentral:rRNA from 1 species
AUUGAACGCUGGCGGCAGGCCUAACACAUGCAAGUCGAGCGGAUGAAGGGAGCUUGCUCCUGGAUUCAGCAGCGGACGGGUGAGUAAUGCCUAGGAAUCUGCCUGGUAGUGGGGGAUAACGUCCGGAAACGGGCGCUAAUACCGCAUACGUCCUGAGGGAGAAAGUGGGGGAUCUUCGGACCUCACGCUAUCAGAUGAGCCUAGGUCGGAUUAGCUAGUUGGUGGGGUAAAGGCCUACCAAGGCGACGAUCCGUAACUGGUCUGAGAGGAUGAUCAGUCACACUGGAACUGAGACACGGUCCAGACUCCUACGGGAGGCAGCAGUGGGGAAUAUUGGACAAUGGGCGAAAGCCUGAUCCAGCCAUGCCGCGUGUGUGAAGAAGGUCUUCGGAUUGUAAAGCACUUUAAGUUGGGAGGAAGGGCAGUAAGUUAAUACCUUGCUGUUUUGACGUUACCAACAGAAUAAGCGCCGGCUAACUUCGUGC